UACAUAGGGGGCGAGCGUUAUCCGGAUUUAUUGGGUUUAAAGGGUGCGUAGGCGGACUUAUAAGUCAGCGGUGAAAGUUUGCAGCUUAACUGUAAAAUUGCCGUUGAAACUGUUAGUCUUGAGUGUAAAUGAGGUAGGCGGAAUGUGUUGUGUAGCGGUGAAAUGCUUAGAUAUAACAUAGAACACCAAUUGCGAAGGCAGCUUACUGGGAUACAACUGACGCUGAGGCACGAAAGCGUGGGGAUCAAACAGG
rnacentral:rRNA from 1 species